GCUUGGGACCUUUCUGCACUAUCACCAUGAUCGGCCCACAUGAUGAUUUCUUCUGUUGCCGGAGGCCGAAAAAACUACGGAAGGAUGCCAAAGAGUGUUUUGUGCGAAUGACACCAUACUUCAUUUCAAGCAAGUAAAACGCCAUGCGGGUUUAUUUCCCAACGGUUUGCUUCAACAGGUCAUUGUGAGAGAACGUCGUGGUCACAUUAGGCUGUGGAAGGACAUAUUUUUCCCCUUCUUUUAUUAAGGUGAAAGCCUUAUAACCGUGUCACACGGGCAACUCGGAUCUCCUUCAAAGUUCCUUCCCUUAAUGGACCGCAAGGGAGUUUCACAAGUUAGUAUAGGUGUUCUGUGGUUUCACCUCAAAGGAGUUAGCUCCGUGUCAUACGGCCUAUAAGCGAGCUUUUGAAGGCUGCCGCUGGGGGCCCAUUAGGCGCUGCUCACCUAGUACGCAGUCAUGAAAGAAACACGUUAUAUAUUGCUAAAAAGUUUUGGUUACUUGUCUUUUCUUACAAAAUACAAUUAUUUAUGCAUUGCAUUUUAAAAAUGUCAUCUAUCUUAAAGAAGAAAAAAACGAGCAUGUACUCAACAUAGCAUGUAGCAUGUACCAUUCCGAGAACGCCCGGUUCGAGAGUCGAAUGUAACUGCUCAACUCAAAUAUCUUUGUCAGUGCUCAAAUACUGUAUUAUAUGCAAUAAAAACAGUUAUAAUUGCUGGUAAAAGUGAAAUUAAUAAAAAUGAGGGUGAUUUCUUGACUCGAAAUUCAAGCACACUGGGAACAAGAGUACUUACUCCCUUCAGUCUGCAAGGGAGACCUUCCAUCUCCUUUCGCUGGGAACUUCCUUAAACUUCCUUUGCUAAAGGACUGCCGUGUGACACGGCGCGCAUCUCCCUCGAGAUAAAGACGUCCUUGGUUGAAGGGAGUUAAAAGGACUUUAGCCGCGUCCGUGUGACAGGGGUAGGGUUCGAAAAAUCCGACGACCGUCCCUCGUUAUGGCACCAAAAUUCAAGCGCAUGCGCCAGUAAGCAAUCAACUUUUUUAUCUAUAAAAUAGCUGGUUAUCUCCAUUCGCGUUGCCCUUCUAAUUAAUCAGCGUGGCCACAAAAGUAUUGGGCUUCCGGGGACUAUUUCAUGACAUCCUUAAAUGUUAUCUGUCGAACAGACCGCAAACAGUAGUAUUAGGCAAUUACUCUAGCUCUAUUUUGCCUACAAAAGCUGGAAUCCCUCUAGAGUCUAUCAUAGCCCCGCUACUGUUUAAUAUUUUCAUGAAUGACCUUGCGUCCGCUGUUUAAAAAUGCACAAUUUUUCAAUACGCCGAUGACACCGUUCUACUAGCUAAGCAUUUAUGCUACAAAUUGGCGAUCAAUAUGCUACAAAAAGAUGUCUAUAACGUAAUUUAUUGCUUUUCUAAAAACUUUCUUGUAAUCAAUAAUUCAAAAACAAAGCUGAUUUGUUUAAGAAAUUCCUUGAAAAUGAAGUCGAUAGAUGAACAUAUCUAUUUGCACAAUAAGAUUUGUUCGCCAUGUAGUUGUGCGCCAGUGGAGUAUAUGCAUGGGUGUAUUUUUUUUUUUUUUU